rnacentral:rRNA from 1 species
AUGUUCCCCACCGCACGCUGCAGUGUCCUCCCCGUCCACCAAAAGCCGCGCGUCGCCGUCGCCGUCCCCCGCCGGCGCGCGCGGGCGCUCACGGCCGUCUCUGUCAGGCCGCGCCGCGGAGGUGCGCGCCGUGACCGCUCGUGGGACGACGACGGCGGCGGGGGGAGCGGCGACGAGGACGGCAUCGACGAGAGCUUCUUCGGGGACGCGCGUGACGAGGAGGAAGACGAGCCGGAGGAGGAGGAGGAGUCGCCUUUGGGGCCGGGGCGACGGGCGGCCGUCUCGCCGGAGUCGCCCGGGGGGCAGCUGCGCGGGUCCGACGUGCUGCGGGCGCUGCAGCGGGCGGCGGCCGCGAAGGAGGCCAAGAAGAGGAGCAAACGGAGCGCGGGCGCGGCGCGGCGGCAGGGGAAGGGCGGCGGCGCGAAGGCCGCGGAGGAGGUCGUGGCGGGGGAGGCGAGGCCGGUAGAGAUAAGGCGCGAGUGGGCGCCGAGGAUCCGGGAGCUGGAGCUCAGGGUGCGGCAGCUGCUCCACAAGCACCAGUAGGCACCGCAAGUCAUGAUCUUUGGUUGA